rnacentral:rRNA from 1 species
CGACCGGCGCACGGGUGAGUAACACGUAUCCAACCUGCCGUCUACUCUUGGCCAGCCUUCUGAAAGGAAGAUUAAUCCAGGAUGGGAUCAUGAGUUCACAUGUCCGCAUGAUUAAAGGUAUUUUCCGGUAGACGAUGGGGAUGCGUUCCAUUAGGUUGUUGGCGGGGUAACGGCCCACCAAGCCUUCGAUGGAUAGGGGUUCUGAGAGGAAGGUCCCCCACAUUGGAACUGAGACACGGUCCAA